UACGGAGGGGGCUAGCGUUAUUCGGAAUUACUGGGCGUAAAGCGCGCGUAGGCGGUUUUUCAAGUCAGAGGUGAAAGCCCGGAGCUCAACUCCGGAAUUGCCUUUGAAACUGGAUCACUAGAAUCAUGGAGAGGUCAGUGGAAUUCCGAGUGUAGAGGUGAAAUUCGUAGAUAUUCGGAAGAACACCAGUGGCGAAGGCGACUGACUGGACAUGUAUUGACGCUGAGGUGCGAAAGCGUGGGGAGCAAACAGG
rnacentral:rRNA from 4 species